rnacentral:lncRNA from 1 species
AGAAGAAGAAGAUAGGAGCCCAGGUCCUGUGUUUCACCAAGACAGCCGUGCAAAGCAGAUGCUGCCAAAAAGGUGCAAAGUGGUUUGUCAGCUCUUCUGCAUGUUCUAACAAAUUAGACAUGCAUCCCAAAAGGUUUCCUAGACUUUCCAUCACCACCAGUGAAUUCUGAGUGACAAUAGUGUGGAAUUUGGAAGAAUGGAAGAGAAACUGAAGUGGAGAGAUGGUGAAAGAGAAGAAAAAAUGAAGAAAGAUGCUUGCAAAAAUACUGCUGUGGGUCCUGAGAUGAGGAUUCUGGGAGGGCUGAAAUGGAUGCCCCUGACAGCUCCCUUUGAGUUCCUGUUCAUCUGAAGUACACCAGCCUUCUAGAUAUGCUGUCACUUUCCUUCUGCAGAGCCACAGUGGUGUCCUGUCUUCUCAGACCUCUUCUCACC